rnacentral:lncRNA from 1 species
CCCGGCCACCAAUAAUGCACCCUCAGAUCUUGAUACAUCUUCGUGCUACCUGGAUGCAUAACAUAUGGACUGUUGUGUGCCUCUGUAAGAAUACUCUGUUUCAGCUCUCCAAUGUUAGGUACACAUAUUCUGUUACCAUAGUACAAGUAGCCAUCAUCACUUAUCACAUGCUUCUGCUUCUUCCCCUCUUGUACUUGUCUAGUCCAUAAGGCUAUCUCUGUAUCUUCUUUUUGUGCUUCUUUAAUUUGUUGCAGUAAGUUGGGUCUAACUUUCAAUUCUGCUAUGAUAGCUCCAUCAUCU